GUGCUUCCUUCGGCAGCACAUGUACCAAAAUUGGAACAAUACAAGAUUCACAUGGCCCCUGCACAAGGAUGACAUGCAAAUUUGUGAAGCAUUUUAUAUAUAA